GCCCCCUUAGCUCAAAGGAUAGAGCAGCUGCCUUCGAAGCAGUUGGUUGGAGGUUCGAGUCCUCCAGGGGGCA
rnacentral:tRNA from 1 species